GUGUCAGCAGCCGCGGUAAUACAGAGGGUGCAAGCGUUGUUCGGAAUUAUUGGGCGUAAAGCGCGUGUAGGCGGCCUUGCAAGUUGGGUGUGAAAGCCCUCGGCUUAACCGAGGAAGUGCGCCCAAAACUACGAGGCUUGAGUGCCGGAGAGGGUGGCGGAAUUCCCGGUGUAGAGGUGAAAUUCGUAGAUAUCGGGAGGAACACCAGUGGCGAAGGCGGCCACCUGGACGGUAACUGACGCUGAGACGCGAAAGCGUGGGGAGCAAACAGGAUUAGAAACCCCCGUAGUCC
rnacentral:rRNA from 1 species